GCCGGAGCGUCGACCAUUAGGAGUGCGCAAGCACAUAAAGUUUGUCAGACAGUGUUUUAAUAAGGCUCUGUAUGGUAGCUUUUACUAGUGGCCAGGAAGAGGUGUUUCUUAUCUAUCAGCUGAAGUUGUUUCAGUAAGGGUAAAACACGGCGAUUACGGAUACGGGGGAUCAGUGUCUGAUUCCGGAGAGGGAGCCUGAGAAAUGGCUACUACAUCUAAGGACGGCAGCAGGCGCGAAAAUUACCCAAUCUCAAUUCGAGGAGGUAGUGACAAGAAAUAACAACUUUACACCAUUUGGUGGAAAGGUACUAUCUAAUAGUUUGGAAUGGUUUUAGAUUAAAAUUCUAUUAGAGUAACGACUAGAGGAAAAGUCUGGUGCCAGCACCCGCGGUAAUUCCAGCUCUAGUAGCGUAUAUUAAUACUGUUGUAGUUAAAACGCUCGUAGUUGACCUAAGGACUGUAGGUUUGAAUUCGGUACUAGCCCGUUCUUCUGUAGUUCCGUGUUAUAACGGGGCUGCAAGGCGCGUGGUUGGUGCCCACGGCAUUUGUCCCCAUGGAUUUUAUCCUUGGGUGUUCAGGUGUGGGUUCUUACCUGUAGUCCGAUCCUUGCCAAUGGUUCGCCAUUGGUAAAGGCCUUAUGGUACAACUGUAAACAAAUCAGAGUGCUCAAAGCAGGCAUUGUCAAUGGGGAUUUAUCCUCAGUUUUGCUUGAAUGAUUUAGCAUGGGAUUGUCUUGGAGCCGUGAAUAGUGCCCUUCGGUCUCCGGAGUGGUUGCUGUUCACUGGCGCUUGUAAUGUGAAGCAGGGAGAGGGCUCAAGUACUAUGGUGCUAGAGGUGAAAUUUAGAUACCAGCAUAUGACUUUCUGAUGCGAAAGCUGUUAUUGUCCAAUACACUUCUUUCGAUCAGGGACGAAAGUUAGGGGAUCGAAGAUGAUUAGAUACCGUCGUAGUCCUAACUAUAAACGAUACCAACAAGAGAUUGGUAGUGAAACCAUUUAAGAUCCUCUCAGAAUCCAAGGGAAACCUAAAGUCUUUGGGUUCUGGGGGGAGUAUAGUCGCAAGGCCGAAACUUAAAGGAAUUGACGGAAAGGCACCACCAGGAGUGGAGUUUGCGGCUUAAUUCGACCCAACACGGGGAAACUCACCAGGUUAGGACAGAGGAGAGAUUGACAGGUUGAGAGUCCUUUCUUGAUUCUUUGAUUGGUGGUGCAUGGCCGUUCUUAGUUCGUGGAGUGAUCUGUC
rnacentral:rRNA from 1 species